rnacentral:rRNA from 1 species
GGCAACGGCCAUACCACGUUGCAAGCACCGGUUCUCGUCCGAUCACCGAAGUUAAGCAACGUUGGGCGCGGUCAGUACUUGGAUGGGUGACCGCUUGGGAACACCGCGUGCCGUUGGCA